rnacentral:rRNA from 1 species
CUGACGGAGCACGCCGCGUGAGUGAUGAAGGUUUUCGGAUCGUAAAGCUCUGUUGUUAGGGAAGAACAAGUGCCGUUCGAAUAGGGCGGCACCUUGACGGUACCUAACCAGAAAGCCCCGGCUAACUACGUGCCAGCAGCCGCGGUAAUACGUAGGGGGCAAGCGUUGUCCGGAAUUAUUGGGCGUAAAGCGCGCGCAGGCGGUCCUUUAAGUCUGAUGUGAAAGCCCACGGCUCAACCGUGGAGGGUCAUUGGAAACUGGAGGACUUGAGUACAGAAGAGGAGAGUGGAAUUCCACGUGUAGCGGUGAAAUGCGUAGAGAUGUGGAGGAACACCAGUGGCGAAGGCGACUCUCUGGUCUGUAACUGACGCUGAGGCGCGAAAGCGUGGGGAGCGAACAGGAUUAGAUACCCUGGUAGUCCACGCCGUAAACGAUGAGUGCUAGGUGUUAGGGGGUUUCCGCCCCUUAGUGCUGAAGUUAACGCAUUAAGCACUCCGCCUGGGGAGUACGGCCGCAAGGCUGAAACUCAAAAGAAUUGACGGGGGCCCGCACAAGCGGUGGAGCAUGUGGUUUAAUUCGACGCAACGCGAAGAACCUUACCAGGUCUUGACAUCCUCUGCAAUCGGUAGAGAUACCGAGUUCCCUUCGGGGACAGAGUGACAGGUGGUGCAUGGUUGUCGUCAGCUCGUGUCGUGAGAUGUUGGGUUAAGUCCCGCAACGAGCGCAACCCUUGAUCUUAGUUGCCAGCAUUUAGUUGGGCACUCUAAGGUGACUGCCGGUGACAAACCGGAGGAAGGUGGGGAUGACGUCAAAUCAUCAUGCCCCUUAUGACCUGGGCUACACACGUGCUACAAUGGAUGGAACAAAGGGAAGCAAAACCGCGAGGUCAAGCAAAUCCCAUAAAACCAUUCUCAGUUCGGAUUGCAGCUGCAACUCGCCUGCAUGA